rnacentral:lncRNA from 1 species
UUUUUUCUGGAACAUCAUCAACAUCUCAAGUUGACACUGGGUUUCAAGCCAGACCAUGCAUGUCCCCUGGCCUCAGCUUUUGCUGAGGAUCUGGCUCAAGUGCAGAUAAUUCUACUUCUAUCAGAAGCACAGUUCAAAUACCCAGCAGCCUCCUACUUUAUAUGCCUCCACUGGUGUCCAGAAUAUUUCCAAGGCUCCUGUUGUAAAAGGAUAUGCCCUCUGAGAGAAGUAGAGCAGCACAAUUUCCAAUGUGCUGCGAAGAGAGAAGAAAUGGAAGCAACAUUGGACCACUGCCAGGAGCAGGAAAAUCCAUAGCUCAGACACCUAUAUCAUGAAACAAUAAAGAAGAAAGCAAAGUGACCACUUAAGAGAUGUGAAAAAGGUAAAAAAGAAGUUAAACCUAAGGAAGAGACUGUUCAAGCUGUAUGGAGAAAUGAACAAGUUAGAAAACCCAAAACAGGAUCUUUUCUAACAGUUUCCUGUUUUCUCUUAUCAUUUUUAUUGUAUUUCCUGGGCAUAGAAUAAGAACAUCAGCAAAAAAGUAUUCUCUCCUUUCAAUUUCUACGGUUUUUUUGUUUGUUUGUUUUUGUUUUUUUCUUUUUUUGUUCUCUCUUGUUUAAUGGCAUUGGCUUGCAUGCCGCUGGCUGUUGAUUUGAGAUGUGUAUCUUUCCAUCCUGUUAGUUUCCUAAGAUUUUUUUUUUUUUCAUGCUUGGAAUAGAUGGAGAACUGAGUCAGAUGCCCUUUGCUCUCAUCAUUUGCUGAAAUGAUCAUAUGGUUCUUCCCUUUGAUCUAAUCAUGGAGCACACAUCAACUUUUUAAUGUUGUGAUAUCCUUGAAUUUAUGGGCUUACCUGCAUUUGUGUUUGCUUAUCAAUUUAGCAAAAUAUGCUUAGAUACAUUAUAAGAAUUAUAUUAUAAUAUAUUAUAUUAAUUACAUCAUAUUAUUUCAUAAGGUAAAUAUUAAACUUUAAAUGUCUCUGAGCGCAUUCAACUUGGUUGCGCCUGGGGUGACUGUUGUCCUGGGUUCUGAGUUCCUACAUUUCCUAAACGUUAACACCAACACUCCCACAACAAGAGGCAGCAGUCCUACUUAGUGGAAUAUAUACUAUAAGCUAUAAUAUGGAAGAUAGUAAGGGACUAGUGGAAGACUAAACAGAGCAAUAGAACAGUCUAGAAGUAGACCUAAAUAAAUAUGAAAUUUUAGUAUAAUUUUUUAAAAAAUGACUACCCAAAUCAGUGAGGUGGGGAUAGAUUUUUAACCUAUUAUCCAAAGCUGUUAUAUUUUCUACUUCACUGAACUCCCCUUUGAAAUAUCCUCUGGCCUUCAUCCUAGGUGUUGGCAGUAUGGCUGGCAAUAGCAGGAAGGGAGCCACCCUAGGAUGUGGAAAUCUGCAAAAUAAGAGAAACAAGGCACUUUGCCGUGCCAUAUAUAUAUCAAUCUCCUCUGUUACAGGUAAUUCUUAGGGAACAUCUCUUUUGGGGGACGUAUGACAAUAUCAUGUAAUAAUAUUUCUUUUCUUUUCAUGGGAAAUUGUAAAAGAUUAUAGAUUAUGGUCAUUUGUUUAUUGUCUCAAGCAAUUACCUAUGUUCUUUCCCAGGAGAUAAAUUAUGUAUUUUCAACAAGGGAUAACAAAAAUAUGCAAUAUUUGCAAAAUAUUUUUGAAGUAUUCUAAUGUUUAGAAUUUUUCUGUUCAUAAUGUUUUUAUUAAAGAGACUUUAAAAGUCUUUACCCUUCAGAGUUCCAAAUGAGAAAGGAAAGUUGUGGAUGAACAUCCCAUUACUGUGUCUGUUCUAAGUAAACUGUUAAAAAGUUCUGAAAACUUCUGUCAUGGUGACAGGGGCUUUGCCAUAGGUAGCAGUUACCUCUCUGUGUUAUUUAUUUUUCAGAGAAAUUUAAAAAAAUAUUUAUUUAAGUUCAAUUAGCCAACAUAUAGUACAUCAUUAGUUUCAGAUGUAGUGUUCAAUAAUUUAUCAGUUGCAUAUAAUACCCAGUGCUCAUCACAUCAUGUGCCCUACUUAAUGCCCAUCACCCAGUUACCCAUCCCUUCCAGCAGCCCUCAGUUUGUUUCCUAGACUUAAGAGUCUCUCGUGGUUGGGCAGCCUGGGUGGCUCAGUGGUUUCGCGCCGCCUUCAGCCCAGGGUGUGAUCCUGGAGUCCAGGGAUCAAGUCCCAUGUCUGGCUCCCUGAAUGGAGCCUGUUUCUUCCUCUGCCUCUCUCUCUCUCUCUCUCUCUCUCUCUAAUGAAUAAAUAAAUUAAAUCUUAAAAAAAAAGUCUCCCAUGGUAUUUCUCCCUCUCUGAUAACUUCUUCAAUUUUUUCUCCCUUAUCCUAUGAUCACUCUGUGUUAUUUCCUAUAUUCCACGUAUGAGUGAAACCAUAUGAUAAUUGUCUUUCUCUGUUGG